rnacentral:rRNA from 1 species
GGCCGCGAAUUCGCCCUUAGGGUUUGAUUAUGGCUCAGAUUGAACGCUGGCGGCAGGCCUAACACAUGCAAGUCGAGCGGUAACAGGAGAAAGCUUGCUUUCUUGCUGACGAGCGGCGGACGGGUGAGUAAUGUAUGGGGAUCUGCCCGAUAGAGGGGGAUAACUACUGGAAACGGUGGCUAAUACCGCAUAAUGUCUACGGACCAAAGCAGGGGCUCUUCGGACCUUGCACUAUCGGAUGAACCCAUAUGGGAUUAGCUAGUAGGUGGGGUAAAGG